GACGGAGGGUGCGAGCGGUAUUCGGAAUUAUUGGGCGUAAAGAGUGUGUAGGCGGCCGGUUAAGUCAGGCGUGAAAGCCCAGGGCUCAACCCUGGAAGUGCGUUUGAAACUGGCUGGCUUGAGUUCGGGAGAGGGAAGCGGAAUUCCUGGUGUAGAGGUGAAAUUCGUAGAUAUCAGGAGGAACAUCGGUGGCGAAGGCGGCUUCCUGGACCGAAACUGACGCUGAGACACGAAAGCGUGGGGAGCAAACAGG
rnacentral:rRNA from 1 species